UCAUCCUCAACUAUUUUAAAAGCUUUGCGCUCCUAAUCCCCAAGCCACAUAUUACAGCUUUUGUGAUGCCACAAAGCCGAGAUCCUCCAGUCGAUCCUAUGGGCGGGUUAAAAGAUCAACAGCCCAGGACAAGGAUUUGGUGGUCCUAUUGGACAGAGGUCAGGACUGAAGAUCGACCAAUCCCAUAGCCAAACAUGACAAUAAAUGACAGGCUGGAUCUACUCUGUUUACAUUCAUCUUAAGUUCGAGAGCUUCAUUGCAGGUGCAGAGCUUUGUAAAAGACAAUCUGGCGAUGAUACAGAUCUCUGAUGUUUGAUCGAUCUUCAUGCCAUGUUUCUUGAUUCCUCAAAAAAACAGUUCCAGGUCCUGUGCGUGUUCUGUGUUGGGCACGGAGCCAGAGGUGAGGGGGCGAGACAGAGACAGUGACAGAUCUGAAGGGCUGGCCUCGCACUGAGGGGAUUUCUCACCCCUCUUGUUUUGGAUAAGAUCCUCCUCACACACAGACAUCAGUGACUGGCCGCUCAGUGGUUGACGUCGGCGGAGAGGGUGUGGUCACGGGCCAGGGCGAGCAGCGGCACAUUGUUAUAACUGGGAUCAAAGAGACUGCAGUGCAGCUCUCACCCGCUGGGCCACUCAGCUAGCAGACAGUAGUAACACACAUGGGUGGAACCCAGCUCAUUACAUCACACUGGAAUACUGGUGACGCCAGUCACGCUCUCCUCUCUCCCUUCAUCUCUUUCUUCAGCACAAAUAAGAAGAAGUGAGAAAGAACUGUGGCUUUUAGGGGUAUAGGUUUACCAAACACCUCUAACUCCCUGCUGGAACCAUCAAUUGACGUUUGCUGCAAUAAUUAAAUUGUCCUUUAUUGGCAGACUUGUGUGAAACCAGAGCCUAGACAAAGGAGUCAAACUGUUGUUUACCUUCCAUCUAUGGUUAAUCCUCACAGAAAACACUUACGGCCUGUGGCAGUGUGUUGUUUCAUACAGCAAAACCUCCCGAAAUGCCUCCAACAAUGGUGCCAGGUAUUGUUGUGUCAAGUCUGUCAACAUUUGCAAUGUCAUUGUCGGUCAUUUGUCACGAUGCAACCAGGCAUUCCUGUCUCUCUUUCUCCUCAGUGUCUGCUUUACACCCACAUACUGAACUGCAUUAAAUAAACAAAAUGUGACUGAAAUAUCAAACAGAACUAAAUUCAGUUGACAAUAGUAUAUGGCUCUCAAUUGCACAGAAAGUAAUGGAAGGCUGAUACACUGACUUGAUUUGAUCUUUUAAAUUGUGCCUACACAGUGAAAUGGACCAUUGGAAUUGUCACAAAUCAACAAAAUGAACACUAUGGGCUUGGGAAAGGAGAGUUCAUUUACAGGCCCCGUUUAAAACACAGGAUUCCCACGGUCCUCAAUCCCUAUCCCUGCACACAAUCUGACACCCAUCAACUCAUCGUGUGACUGCAAUGGCCGAUAAGCAUGUGAUAAGAAGUCAACGUGAGAGUAAUGCUGCACAGCGAGUUGUACCACAUACUGUAUAUUCACCGUCUACUUGCAUUGAGAAUCGGCUCUCAGAAAACGUGAGCUACCUGUGCUGCCUGCUGUGCAGAUCGUUUGUAACAGGUGUGCUCAACCUCCAGACCAAUGAAUUGUGUGUCCUGGUUCCACACGUUUAAACCAGAUGCUGCAUGAUUCAUCAUUCAAUUGUGGCACUCAACCCAAACU
ensembl:lncRNA